rnacentral:lncRNA from 1 species
CCGGUGAGAGUUGCCGCCAUUUGUAAAUUUGACGAUGCCUUGACGCAUAAGACGUUCUUAUUGCUGCACUUACUAAGCGCAGCAGCGUGGUUAAUUAAGUUUAUGAGAGAAGUGUCAGUUCAUGCCGACGAUGGUCGAUGGAGCUUUAAUGUGGUUGUCGAGGCAUAAAAAGCAUGGUGAUCAAAAAGAUUUCUAAGGGUAAGGUGCAGGCAGCGCUAGCUGAUACUAGCAUGCCGUUUUUUAUUAUCUCUUAAUUUAUUUAUUUUCCAGCAGAUAUCCCGGAUUGGAUCAAAAAUUAUUUUUCCCAGUAUGUAACCCAAUAUGUUUGUGCACAAACACAUGUAAUGCUGAGGUACAGUUUAUGCUACAGCAGGUCCGGAUCAUUUGUCGCUCCGAGAGGAGUUCUUUCUGCGGUGAAGACACACUUACACGCAGCCUUUAACAAUUUCUUUCCAGUGAGACACAAGUAUAAGGAUUUAAGCACCCUUGAUUGAUUCAUGGAGAGCAUACGAAAUGAUUCUGGCUGAUCUAAUCUAGCUACUGGAUGGACCGGAUGAAUAACGGAACACACGCCGGUGAUUGCCCAAGUUCAGUCCUAACAAGGCCAUUAAUCACAUGGAUAUGUUAAUUCCAGCAAUUUAUCUGUUGUGCUUCCUGAUGUUAUCUUAUUAACUGGACUUAGAAAUGGAGAAAUGCCAUGAUGUAAUGUGACUUGGUGGUGC